rnacentral:tRNA from 1 species
AUAUAUCUAUUGUAAUGAAGCAAAUUUAUUUUCCAAAUAAAAAGUUGGUUAAACCAGUUAUAU